UACGUAGGGUGCAAGCGUUGUCCGGAAUUAUUGGGCGUAAAGGGCUCGUAGGCGGUCUGUCGCGUCGGGAGUGAAAACUCAGGGCUUAACCCUGAGCCUGCUUCCGAUACGGGCAGACUAGAGGUAUGCAGGGGAGAACGGAAUUCCUGGUGUAGCGGUGAAAUGCGUAGAUAUCUGGAGGAACACCGGUGGCGAAGGCGGCAUCCUGGACCAACACUGACGCUGAUGAGCGAAAGCCAGGGGAGCAAACGGG
rnacentral:rRNA from 1 species